GCCCGCGUGGCCCAAUGGUUAAGGCGCUCGACUUCUAAUCGAGCGAUUGUGGGUUCGAAUCCCGCCGUGGGUU
rnacentral:tRNA from 1 species